rnacentral:rRNA from 1 species
ACGAACGCUGGCGGCGUGCCUAAUACAUGCAAGUCGAACGCUUCUUUUUCCACCGGAGCUUGCUCCACCGGAAAAAGAGGAGUGGCGAACGGGUGAGUAACACGUGGGUAACCUGCCCAUCAGAAGGGGAUAACACUUGGAAACAGGUGCUAAUACCGUAUAACAAUCGAAACCGCAUGGUUUUGAUUUGAAAGGCGCUUUCGGGUGUCGCUGAUGGAUGGACCCGCGGUGCAUUAGCUAGUUGGUGAGGUAACGGCUCACCAAGGCGACGAUGCAUAGCCGACCUGAGAGGGUGAUCGGCCACAUUGGGACUGAGACACGGCCCAAACUCCUACGGGAGGCAGCAGUAGGGAAUCUUCGGCAAUGGACGAAAGUCUGACCGAGCAACGCCGCGUGAGUGAAGAAGGUUUUCGGAUCGUAAAACUCUGUUGUUAGAGAAGAACAAGGAUGAGAGUAACUGUCCCUCCAUUGACGGUAUCUAUCCAGAAAGCCACGGCUAACUACGUGCCAGCAGCCGCGGUAAUACGUAGGUGGCAAGCGUUGUCCGGAUUUAUUGGGCGUAAAGCGAGCGCAGGCGGUUUCUUAAGUCUGAUGUGAAAGCCCCCGGCUCAACCGGGGAGGGUCAUUGGAAACUGGGAGACUUGAGUGCAGAAGAGGAGAGUGGAAUUCCAUGUGUAGCGGUGAAAUGCGUAGAUAUAUGGAGGAACACCAGUGGCGAAGGCGGCUCUCUGGUCGGUAACUGACGCGGAGGCUCGAAAGCGUGGGGAGCAAACAGGAUUAGAUACCCUGGUAGUCCACGCCGUAAACGAUGAGUGCUAAGUGUUGGAGGGUUUCCGCCCUUCAGUGCUGCAGCUAACGCAUUAAGCACUCCGCCUGGGGAGUACGACCGCAAGGUUGAAACUCAAAGGAAUUGACGGGGGCCCGCACAAGCGGUGGAGCAUGUGGUUUAAUUCGAAGCAACGCGAAGAACCUUACCAGGUCUUGACAUCCUUUGACCACUCUAGAGAUAGAGCUUCCCCUUCGGGGGCAAAGUGACAGGUGGUGCAUGGUUGUCGUCAGCUCGUGUCGUGAGAUGUUGGGUUAAGUCCCGCAACGAGCGCAACCCUUAUUGUUAGUUGCCAUCAUUUAGUUGGGCACUCUAGCAAGACUGCCGGUGACAAACCGGAGGAAGGUGGGGAUGACGUCAAAUCAUCAUGCCCCUUAUGACCUGGGCUACACACGUGCUACAAUGGGAAGUACAACGAGUCGCAAAGUCGCGAGGCUAAGCUAAUCUCUUAAAGCUUCUCUCAGUUCGGAUUGUAGGCUGCAACUCGCCUACAUGAAGCCGGAAUCGCUAGUAAUCGCGGAUCAGCACGCCGCGGUGAAUACGUUCCCGGGCCUUGUACACACCGCCCGUCACACCACGAGAGUUUGUAACACCCGAAGUCGGUGAGGUAACCUUUUGGAGCCAGCCGCCUAAGGUGGGAUAGAUGAUUGGGGUG